AAGGAGUUAGUUUAAAAGAACUAAAACAUAAGAAUGUCAAUCUAAAAAUAUUUAUCAUAAUUACUCCUUG
rnacentral:tRNA from 1 species